rnacentral:rRNA from 1 species
GGGGGGGGCAAGCGUUUGUUCGGAAUUACUGGGCGUAAAGGGCGCGCAGGCGGCCUGGCAAGUCCUACGUGAAAUCCCACAGCUUAACUGUGGAACUGCGUGGGAUACUGCCAGGCUUGAGUCCGGGAGAGGAGAGUGGAAUUCCCAGUGUAGCGGUGAAAUGCGUAGAUAUUGGGAGGAACACCGGUGGCGAAGGCGGCUCUCUGGACCGGUACUGACGCUGAGGCGCGAAAGCUAGGGGAGCAAACGGGAUUAGAUACCCCGGUAGUCCUAGCCAUAAACUUUGAGCACUUUGUGUGGCGGGUAUCGACCCCCCCGUGCCGUGCAGAAGCUAACGCAUUAAGUGCUCCGCCUGGGGAGUACGGUCGCAAGGCUG